UGCCAGCAGCCGCGGUAACACGUAGGGGGCAAGCGUUGUCCGGAUUUAUUGGGCGUAAAGAGCUCGUAGGCUGUUCAGUAAGUCAGGUGUGAAAACCCAAGGCUCAACCUUGGGACGCCACUUGAUACUGCUGUGACUAGAGUCCGGUAGAGGAGAUUGGAAUUCCUGGUGUAGCGGUGAAAUGCGCAGAUAUCAGGAGGAACACCAACGGCGAAGGCAGAUCUCUGGGCCGGUACUGACGCUGAGGAGCGAAAGCAUGGGGAGCGAACAGGAUUAGAUA
rnacentral:rRNA from 1 species